rnacentral:rRNA from 1 species
AUAGAACGCUGGCGGCAGGCCUAACACAUGCAAGUCGAGUGGAGCGGCGGACGGGUGAGUAAUGCCUAGGAAUCUGCCUGGUAGGGGGGGAUAACGCCCGGAAACGGGCGCUAAUACCGCAUACUAUCAGAUGAGCCUAGGUCGGAUUAGCUAGUUGGUGGGGUAAAGGCCUACCAAGGCGACGAUCCGUAACUGGUCGGAGAGGAUGUUCAGUCACGCUGGAACUGAGCCACGGUCCAGACUCCUACGGGAGGCAGCAGUGGGGAAUAUUGGACAAUGGGCGAAAGCCUGAUCCAGCCAUGCCGGGUGUGUGAAGAAGGUCUUCGGAUUGUAAAGCACUUUAAGUUGGGAGUCGUUACCAGCAGAUUGAGCACCGGCUAACUUCGUGCCAGCAGCCGCGGUAAUUC